GCAUGCCGCGGUGAAUACGUUCCCGGGUCUUGUACACACCGCCCGUCACACCACGAGAGUUGGUAACACCCGAAGUCGGUGAGGUAACCUUUUGGAGCCAGCCGCCGAAGGUGGGACCAAUGAUUGGGGUGAAGUCGUAACAAGGUAGCCGUAUCGGAAGGUGCGGCUGGAUCACCUCCUUUCUAAGGA
rnacentral:rRNA from 1 species